UGCCAUCAUCAUCCUCGCUGUCCUCAUCGGAUUCGUCGUCUGGAGGCUCCAGUCCGGGAGGUGGGACAGGAAUAAAUACAGCAUGGCUCCUGAAAAAGACGGGGGAACCAACGGCUUGAGUGCAGG